rnacentral:rRNA from 1 species
GCUAAUACCGCAUAACGUCGCAAGACCAAAGAGGGGGACCUUCGGGCCUCUUGCCAUCAGAUGUGCCCAGAUGGGAUUAGCUAGUAGGUGGGGUAACGGCUCACCUAGGCGACGAUCCCUAGCUGGUCUGAGAGGAUGACCAGCCACACUGGAACUGAGACACGGUCCAGACUCCUACGGGAGGCAGCAGUGGGGAAUAUUGCACAAUGGGCGCAAGCCUGA